rnacentral:rRNA from 1 species
GAUGAACGCUAGCUACAGGCUUAACACAUGCAAGUCGAGGGGCAGCAUGGUCUUAGCUUGCUAAGGCUGAUGGCGACCGGCGCACGGGUGAGUAACACGUAUCCAACCUGCCGUCUACUCUUGGCCAGCCUUCUGAAAGGAAGAUUAAUCCAGGAUGGGAUCAUGAGUUCACAUGUCCGCAUGAUUAAAGGUAUUUUCCGGUAGACGAUGGGGAUGCGUUCCAUUAGAUAGUAGGCGGGGUAACGGCCCACCUAGUCAACGAUGGAUAGGGGUUCUGAGAGGAAGGUCCCCCACAUUGGAACUGAGACACGGUCCAAACUCCUACGGGAGGCAGCAGUGAGGAAUAUUGGUCAAUGGGCGAUGGCCUGAACCAGCCAAGUAGCGUGAAGGAUGACUGCCCUAUGGGUUGUAAACUUCUUUUAUAAAGGAAUAAAGUCGGGUAUGCAUACCCGUUUGCAUGUACUUUAUGAAUAAGGAUCGGCUAACUCCGUGCCAGCAGCCGCGGUAAUACGGAGGAUCCGAGCGUUAUCCGGAUUUAUUGGGUUUAAAGGGAGCGUAGAUGGAUGUUUAAGUCAGUUGUGAAAGUUUGCGGCUCAACCGUAAAAUUGCAGUUGAUACUGGAUGUCUUGAGUGCAGUUGAGGCAGGCGGAAUUCGCGGUGUAGCGGUGAAAUGCUUAGAUAUCGCGAAGAACUCCGAUUGCGAAGGCAGCCUGCUAAGCUGCAACUGACAUU